GACGAACGCUGGCGGCGUGCUUAACACAUGCAAGUCGAACGGAAAGGCCCUGCUUUUGUGGGGUGCUCGAGUGGCGAACGGGUGAGUAACAUGUGAGUAACCUGCCCUUGACUGUGGGAUAACUUCAGGAAACUGGGGCUAAUACCGGAUAGGAGCUCCUGCUGCAUGGUGGGGGUUGGAAAGUUUCGGCGGUUGGGGAUGGACUCGCGGCUUAUCAGCUUGUUGGUGGGGUAGUGGCUUACCAAGGCUUUGACGGGUAGCCGGCCUGAGAGGGUGACCGGCCACAUUGGGACUGAGAUACGGCCCAGACUCCUACGGGAGGCAGCAGUGGGGAAUAUUGCACAAUGGGCGGAAGCCUGAUGCAGCAACGCCGCGUGCGGGAUGACGGCCUUCGGGUUGUAAACCGCUUUCGCCUGUGACGAAGCGUGAGUGACGGUAAUGGGUAAAGAAGCACCGGCUAACUACGUG
rnacentral:rRNA from 1 species